GAACGCGAUCAUACCAGCACUAAAUCACCG
rnacentral:rRNA from 1 species